rnacentral:rRNA from 1 species
GGUGAUCUGCCCUGCACUUUGGGAUAAGCCUGGGANACUGGGUCUAAUACCGGAUAGGACUACGGCCUGCAUGGGUUGUGGUGGAAAGCUUUUGCGGUGUGGGAUGGGCCCGCGGCCUAUCAGCUUGUUGGUGGGGUUAUGGCCUACCAAGGCGACGACGGGUAGCCGGCCUGAGAGGGUGACCGGCCACACUGGGACUGAGAUACGGCCCAGACUCCUACGGGAGGCAGCAGUGGGGAAUAUUGCACAAUGGGCGCAAGCCUGAUGCAGCGACGCCGCGUGAGGGAUGACGGCCUUCGGGUUGUAAACCUCUUUCAAUAGGGACGAAGCGCAAGUGACGGUACCUAUAGAAGAAGGACCGGCCAACUACGUGCCAGCAGCCGCGGUAAUACGUAGGGUCCGAGCGUUGUCCGGAAUUACUGGGCGUAAAGAGCUCGUAGGUGGUUUGUCGCGUUGUCCGUGAAAACUCACAGCUUAACUGUGGGCGUGCGGGCGAUACGGGCAGACUGGAGUACUGCAGGGGAGACUGGAAUUCCUGGUGUAGCGGUGGAAUGCGCAGAUAUCAGGAGGAACACCGGUGGCGAAGGCGGGUCUCUGGGCAGUAACUGACGCUGAGGAGCGAAAGCGUGGGGAGCGAACAGGAUUAGAUACCCUGGUAGUCCACGCCGUAAACGGUGGGUACUAGGUGUGGGUUUCCUUCCUUGGGAUC